rnacentral:lncRNA from 1 species
UAUAUAGUUGAGCUAGAAUAUUAUCGGUAGCAAACGAGCUCUGUUGCCAAUCAUUUGUUUUCGAUGAUGGAGCCUCCAAAUCGACGAUCGGCACCGUUGAAUAUGAUCUAUAUCACUUGAAGUAUCUAGAAAUCAAAUUUUAUACUUUUUCAAUAUUAUUCUCUUGGCCAUCAAGUGGGUGUAAAAAUGAACGGCUGAAAAUAAAUAUCCUCUAAAAAAUGAUGAUAGAAAUUUUGUAAUCAAGAUCGGGAGUAUAGAUCUUAUUCUAAAUAGUUUAAAGAACUUUCUCACCAAAAUUCAAUUGAUUUGGAUAGCUUUACACCGUUAAACGAGAAAACACCUCAUAUUUACCAUUAGAAUUACAAAUUUUGAAUCCCUUUGAUCAUUAGGUCAAUGAUGUCGAAAUGAUUUGAAAUUUGGUUUCUAGAUACUUCAAGUGGUAUAAAUCAUGUUCAAUGAUACCGAUCGUCAAUUUAAGAGCUUUAUCAUCGAAAACAAAUGGAUGUCAAGAGAGUCAGUUUGCUACCGAUAGCUCAACUCUUUCUCUCUCUCUCUCUCUAUAUAUAUAUAUAUAGAAUUAUAUAUAUAUAUAACUUUAUUGAUUAAAUAAAUCUUUCUUAAAAGAAAAAAGAAAGAAAAAAAAAUUGUAGGAAAAAGGA